rnacentral:rRNA from 1 species
GAUUAAGUUAUUAAGGGCGCACGGUGGAUGCCUUGGCACUAGAAGCCGAUGAAGGACGUUACUAACGACGAUAUGCUUUGGGGAGCUGUAAGUAAGCUUUGAUCCAGAGAUUUCCGAAUGGGGAAACCCAGCAUGAGUUAUGUCAUGUUAUCGAUAUGUGAAUACAUAGCAUAUCAGAAGGCACACCCGGAGAACUGAAACAUCUUAGUACCCGGAGGAAGAGAAAGAAAAUUCGAUUCCCUUAGUAGCGGCGAGCGAAACGGGAAGAGCCCAAACCAACAAGCUUGCUUGUUGGGGUUGUAGGACACUCUAUACGGAGUUACAAAGGACGACAUUAGACGAAUCAUCUGGAAAGAUGAAUCAAAGAAGGUAAUAAUCCUGUAGUCGAAAAUGUUGUCUCUCUUGAGUGGAUCCUGAGUACGACGGAGCACGUGAAAUUCCGUCGGAAUCUGGGAGGACCAUCUCCUAAGGCUAAAUACUCUCUAGUGACCGAUAGUGAACCAGUACCGUGAGGGAAAGGUGAAAAGCACCCCGGAAGGGGAGUGAAAUAGAACCUGAAACCGUGUGCUUACAAGUAGUCAGAGCCCGUUAAUGGGUGAUGGCGUGCCUUUUGUAGAAUGAACCGGCGAGUUACGAUUUGAUGCAAGGUUAAGCAGUAAAUGUGGAGCCGUAGCGAAAGCGAGUCUGAAUAGGGCGUUUAGUAUUUGGUCGUAGACCCGAAACCAGGUGAUCUACCCUUGGUCAGGUUGAAGUUCAGGUAACACUGAAUGGAGGACCGAACCGACUUACGUUGAAAAGUGAGCGGAUGAACUGAGGGUAGCGGAGAAAUUCCAAUCGAACCUGGAGAUAGCUGGUUCUCUCCGAAAUAGCUUUAGGGCUAGCCUCAAGUGAUGAUUAUUGGAGGUAGAGCACUGUUUGGACGAGGGCCCCUCUCGGGUUACCGAAUUCAGACAAACUCCGAAUGCCAAUUAAUUUAACUUGGGAGUCAGAACAUGGGUGAUAAGGUCCGUGUUCGAAAGGGAAACAGCCCAGACCACCAGCUAAGGUCCCAAAAUAUAUGUUAAGUGGAAAAGGAUGUGGCGUUGCCCAGACAACUAGGAUGUUGGCUUAGAAGCAGCCAUCAUUUAAAGAGUGCGUAAUAGCUCACUAGUCGAGUGACACUGCGCCGAAAAUGUACCGGGGCUAAACAUAUUACCGAAGCUGUGGAUUGUCCUUUGGACAAUGGUAGGAGAGCGUUCUAAGGGCGUUGAAGCAUGAUCGUAAGGACAUGUGGAGCGCUUAGAAGUGAGAAUGCCGGUGUGAGUAGCGAAAGACGGGUGAGAAUCCCGUCCACCGAUUGACUAAGGUUUCCAGAGGAAGGCUCGUCCGCUCUGGGUUAGUCGGGUCCUAAGCUGAGGCCGACAGGCGUAGGCGAUGGAUAACAGGUUGAUAUUCCUGUACCACCUAUAAUCGUUUUAAUCGAUGGGGGGACGCAGUAGGAUAGGCGAAGCGUGCGAUUGGAUUGCACGUCUAAGCAGUAAGGCUGAGUAUUAGGCAAAUCCGGUACUCGUUAAGGCUGAGCUGUGAUGGGGAGAAGACAUUGUGUCUUCGAGUCGUUGAUUUCACACUGCCGAGAAAAGCCUCUAGAUAGAAAAUAGGUGCCCGUACCGCAAACCGACACAGGUAGUCAAGAUGAGAAUUCUAAGGUGAGCGAGCGAACUCUCGUUAAGGAACUCGGCAAAAUGACCCCGUAACUUCGGGAGAAGGGGUGCUCUUUAGGGUUAACGCCCAGAAGAGCCGCAGUGAAUAGGCCCAAGCGACUGUUUAUCAAAAACACAGGUCUCUGCUAAACCGUAAGGUGAUGUAUAGGGGCUGACGCCUGCCCGGUGCUGGAAGGUUAAGAGGAGUGGUUAGCUUCUGCGAAGCUACGAAUCGAAGCCCCAGUAAACGGCGGCCGUAACUAUAACGGUCCUAAGGUAGCGAAAUUCCUUGUCGGGUAAGUUCCGACCCGCACGAAAGGCGUAACGAUUUGGGCACUGUCUCAACGAGAGACUCGGUGAAAUCAUAGUACCUGUGAAGAUGCAGGUUACCCGCGACAGGACGGAAAGACCCCGUGGAGCUUUACUGUAGCCUGAUAUUGAAAUUCGGCACAGCUUGUACAGGAUAGGUAGGAGCCUUUGAAACGUGAGCGCUAGCUUACGUGGAGGCGCUGGUGGGAUACUACCCUAGCUGUGUUGGCUUUCUAACCCGCACCACUUAUCGUGGUGGGAGACAGUGUCAGGCGGGCAGUUUGACUGGGGCGGUCGCCUCCUAAAAGGUAACGGAGGCGCUCAAAGGUUCCCUCAGAAUGGUUGGAAAUCAUUCAUAGAGUGUAAAGGCAUAAGGGAGCUUGACUGCGAGACCUACAAGUCGAGCAGGGUCGAAAGACGGACUUAGUGAUCCGGUGGUUCCGCAUGGAAGGGCCAUCGCUCAACGGAUAAAAGCUACCCCGGGGAUAACAGGCUUAUCUCCCCCAAGAGUUCACAUCGACGGGGAGGUUUGGCACCUCGAUGUCGGCUCAUCGCAUCCUGGGGCUGUAGUCGGUCCCAAGGGUUGGGCUGUUCGCCCAUUAAAGCGGUACGCGAGCUGGGUUCAGAACGUCGUGAGACAGUUCGGUCCCUAUCCGUCGUGGGCGUAGGAAAUUUGAGAGGAGCUGUCCUUAGUACGAGAGGACCGGGAUGGACAUACCUCUGGUGUACCAGUUGUCGUGCCAACGGCAUAGCUGGGUAGCUAUGUGUGGACGGGAUAAGUGCUGAAAGCAUCUAAGCAUGAAGCCCCCCUCAAGAUGAGAUUUCCCAACUUCGGUUAUAAGAUCCCUCAAAGAUGAUGAGGUUAAUAGGUUCGAGGUGGAAGCAUGGUGACAUGUGGAGCUGACGAAUACUAAUCGAUCGAAGACUUAAUCAA